rnacentral:rRNA from 1 species
GAGGAAUAUUGGUCAAUGGGCGAGAGCCUGAACCAGCCAAGUAGCGUGCAGGAAGACGGCCCUAUGGGUUGUAAACUGCUUUUAUGUGGGGAUAAAGUGAGCUACGUGUAGUUUAUUGCAGGUACCACAUGAAUAAGGACCGGCUAAUUCCGUGCCAGCAGCCGCGGUAAUACGGAAGGUCCAGGCGUUAUCCGGAUUUAUUGGGUUUAAAGGGAGCGUAGGCCGUGGAUUAAGCGUGUUGUGAAAUGUAGACGCUCAACGUCUGAAUUGCAGCGCGAACUGGUUCACUUGAGUAUGCACAACGUAGGCGGAAUUCGUCGUGUAGCGGUGAAAUGCUUAGAUAUGACGAAGAACUCCGAUUGCGAAGGCAGCUUACGGGAGCACAACUGACGCUGAAACUCGAAGGUGCGGGUAUCAAACAGGAUUAGAUACCCUGGUAGUCCGCACAGUAAACGAUGGAUGCCCGUUGUUAGUUCACUUAAGAAUUAGCGACCAAGCGAAAGCAUUAAGCAUCCCACCUGGGGAGUACGCCGGCAACGGUG